UAUAAUCGGUAAUACCAAUAUCGUUCUUCCCAAGAGACUCGAAAGGCGUUUAUCGUUCGUGUGAAUCAAAAUCGUAAGACUUGAAAAGAAAGAAUUAAUUGUUGUGAAUGCAAAAACAUAAAAUAAACAUGCAAUGUGGUUGAUUCAAUUGACAAAAAAGACUAUGGAUGAAUGGAGUUGUUGGGGGUUGACAAUUUCAUCUUAUUUGCUCCCUCUUAUCUACUUAUCUUGUUUAAUGUGCUUGAUUAUCUAAUUGUUAUGCAAACUUUCUUGGCCUAUCCUUAACCCUGUCCCUCGGCGAAAAGAGCCUAUUACUAAUUACCGGCUUGCUAUCCCUAGCCUCCCCUAGCAAUUAAUAAUGCAUUAAGAAAAGAAGCAAAAACUAUUGAUCGUCCUACCCCUUAUCCCUAGGUUGGUAUUGCUUAAUCAAGGAAUUUCUCACUAGUUCAUGACAUUACUGUACGUUCCCGUAUCANUAAAGACAAACAACAUUUAUCGAAUGAGUUAAA
rnacentral:lncRNA from 1 species